GGAAAUCGAACGAGAAAAAACGCGGGCAAUGGCGGAAUUCGAAACGAGAAAGGACGAGAGCGGCUAAGGAUAUAGAGCGCUGUAGCUACGUAUGCUUUAUCCGAAUUUGUAGCUCAUGCUAAAACCAGGUGAAACGAGACUCAACGCGUACUGUGUUUCUCUUUAGCCGAACUUCCAAAAGAAGAAAGAAGAGCAACGAAAUCAGAAUUCGUCGACCUUAUUCGUAGCUUAAGAAUCAUCGAUUCGUGUUGGAAACAGAUUCCGGGAAUGCAAUCCCGGGUCUAUAUAGGAACGCACGACACGGAACGAAGCUGAUCAGCUCGCCAUAUCCAACCGGUAAUUAACCGUCGAAUGAUAUUCGCGCUGGAAAGGAAAGUUUAAAUUGUCUGCGCGCACGUGCGGGACAGUUCCAUCGGUGGCUUUUUCAUCGUCGUAUUUCAGACAUCGACGACGAGAGCUUUUAUCUUGGAAACAUAUGCAGCAGUUAUGCGAAUUUCACGCGAGCAUAGACCGGAGAAACGGAGACCGAGCGUCGUUGGAAACUCCGCUUGCAGGACGCAGACAAAACGAUCCAUCGAGGAUCAGACGGCAGAGAGGAGAGGAUGCGCAUACUGUGGCGAGACAAGACGGCGAGAUGGUUAACGUUUGGAUUUGAUUGCCAGAAGCAACGAUCGCUUCGGAGCGAAUGUAUCUACCGUCGAAGUGGAAAUUUCACGCGGAUCUCUCUAACGAUGUUGGAGAAGCGUCGAAGAAUCAAGAGAUUGAGAUUGGAGGAUGAAAGAAGGUUACAUCGAGGCGCCAGGUUUUACGCGAACGUGACCGAUUUCCAGGAAUAUCUGCGUAGUACUUGCCAAGUGGGCGAAAAAGAGCGUGAAAUUAGGGAAUGUGCGGUGAGCGCGCGUAAUCGUAGAAUGGAAUAAUCGUACGGGGAAUUAAGAGAGAAAGCUGCUUAUAUUGCGUUGUCAAGUCGCUUCCUAUGUUCUACAUUUGAAACGAAAUGCACGUUUAAGAAUUAUCUUUUUAAUAUGUGGCGGCACGCGACGACGCCGAAGCGAAGUGCCUAAUGAGCCAUCAAUGUCCCAACGGUUCUUCCGCCGAAUGUUCGAGAAGAAGGCGUGCGUGGCAACGGUCGUGGACGCCUAACAAACGCGUGGAUAGUGGGGACAUUGAAAAAAAAAAAAAGAAAAAGAAAAGAUUCAUUCCGUUUCGAACAGCGAAGUGCCGAAGGGUCUAGCGUAACAGCGAAGCAAACACAUUCGAGAAGCGUGAUUGUUAAUCGUUGAUCGUUAAUCGUUGAUUGUUAAUGUUUAAAUAAACCUUUAUUGUUGAACAUCGAGAGUAUUUCUUGGGCACUUACAUCUAACACCACCUCAAGUAUAUUUGUUCGUGAUCUAAUUUACGCGUAGAACUACUAUGCAAUCCCGUUUUUCUAUGUAAAACCAAAGAUAAUUUAUUACGGUCGAACGUAAAGGAUUGGGAGGAUCGGUAAUUGGAAACGUUUCGGGAAAUCCUUGAUAUAUUUGCUCGGUUGGACGUACGUUGUUUAAAGCAGGGCAAACAAUCGCUGGAAAAGGCGAAGGACGACGAAGGAUUCUUGGAAACCGCGUAAUUAUUUCAGUCAAAGUGAAGAGUCAGCUUUAUCCGCCGUACAAAGAUGCGUUCGCAGAGCUGAACGAAUUCCAUUGGUUGGCGAAGAUCCAAUAUUUUAUCAAGGACGAUAUUUAUGAUUGAUUUUAUAAUAAAAACCGAAAUCACGUAGAACGCGUACGUGUGCAUAAGGACGUAGUGGAAAACCGUAAAUAUUAUCAAAUAAAUACGUUAUUGACAGCUGCCGUUGAACAUUUAAAUAUUUGUAUGAUGCGUUCGACUAAUUUUUCGCGGGCGUCUCUCGCGAAAUAUUCACGCUUUAUCGCCAUUGCACGUGCAAAACAAUUUAUGCAACGAGUCGCUCGAUUCAAUUAGAAGAAUGCUACGGAACGUUCGCGAAGGAAAUAUUAUCGAGAAAAUGUCUAUUCGAAUGACACGUGAAUUUCCACUCUAAUAUUUUGUCGUUCUUCUCUUUAAAAAGCAGCUGCGGAUCGUUUAUUCGUACAAAGGUCGAUUUAUGACAUUCGAAAAUCUUAUUUACGUACAUAUGUAAGAUUAAAGGAAUUCCAUCGACGCUGCAACUGCGAUAAUCCACUAGCGACGCGAGAAAUAUUAUCCCUCGAUCGUUUGUAUCGUUCUGCGAUUUCACAGUGGCCAUUUUUCAAACGCCAUUUUUCUCGACGGCCGAUUUAGAGCUCGCAUUAUCCCGGCUCGCAACGCUCUCCCGGCCUUCUGGCAUCAGUUUCAUCAAUUAGGUUACUUAAAUGUUUGCACGAGGAAAAUCCCGAUGAAAAUUACGGAGGACCAGGGUAGUAGAGUGGACGGACGGGAAGGGGGGCGGUGCGUGGACCAUCCAUACGUUACCAAACUUGCAUUAUCGUCGUGAAUCAGCAUCGGAUAAAUUAUUAAAAGCUUAAACCGCGGCGGAAGUAUAAAUUAAUUAGCGCGAACAUUAAUGGAUUUAGUUGGGUAUUUGAAUAACGCGAUAAUCGAAUGUCGCAUACUUCCGGGCCCCGAUCGUUUGCCGGCCAACGAUAUCGGCGGUGUAUCGAUCGUUUGUUUGCGCGAGAUUUUCAAUGAACGCGUAUCGACAGUGUUCAACGACGAAUCGAAGGAAAACUGUUAAAGGAAAACAGAGGAUAGAAGAUAUGGAUGAAAGAAUUUUUGUAAUAUCGUACGUGAUAAAAAACGUGACGAGUAAAUUUAAUAGGGCAGCCUGCUGUUCUUUCAAAAAGAUAUGGAAACGCGACAGGUUUUUACAAUAUUCCUACCCACGUCUUGGACCUAUACCUGACGCGAUAUUCCAGUCGUAUAUAGGAUACAUUUUCGUAGCGGACAACGUGGCGCGACGCAGAGAAACAAGGAGGGUAAAGGUUAAAGGUUAUACGCUAGGGCUGACUGACAAUGGCUCGCGUAAAACAGAUACGAAGGAAAACGCAGCGUAAGAGGCAGGUAUCUCGUUGAUAGUGGACGAGGUCGAAUUUAUGAGAGUUGCCGGCCUUAAGAAUAAGGAACCAAACGGGUCUUUACGUCUCCGUUUUACUAUCUCUGCCCAAGAUUUGCAUAACGUUCGGGCCUCCCUUUUCGCUCCUUAUUCUUCCUCAAAAGAAACCAUUCCCCUGUACCUGUACAACUUUUUGCCUUCUAUCGAGAUAUGUGUAAUUUUGUGUGCUACACUGGAUUAGCCGCGUAGUAGCGACACGCAUGUAUGAUUAUGAGCAUGCGGGAGUACGUGCGUGCACAGCGUCUCGUAAAACAGACGAAUGCAACUGUUCCGUUGGUAGUGUGGUAAAGAAGAUGGUGAGA